rnacentral:rRNA from 1 species
AUUGAACGCUGGCGGCAUGCCUUACACAUGCAAGUCGAACGGCAGCACGGGGCAACCUGGUGGCGAGUGGCGAACGGGUGAGUAAUGUAUCGGAACGUACCUUUCAGUGGGGGAUAACGUAGCGAAAGUUACGCUAAUACAGCAUAUUCUGUGAGCAGGAAAGCAGGGGAUCGCAAGACCUUGCGCUGAUUGAGCGGCCGAUAUCAGAUUAGCUAGUUGGUGAGGUAAAGGCUCACCAAGGCGACGAUCUGUAGCGGGUCUGAGAGGAUGAUCCGCAACACUGGAGCUGUGACACGGUCCCGACUCCUACGGGAGGCAGCAGUGGGUAAUUUUGGACAAUGGGGGCAACCCUGAGCCAUCCAUGCCGCGUGAGUGAAGAAGGCCUUCGGGUUGUAAAGCUCGUUCGGCCGGGAAGAAAUCGUAUGGGUUAAUACCCUGUGCGGAUGACGGUACCGGCAUAAGAAGCACCGGCUAACUACGUGCCAGCCGCCGCGGUAACAC